CAAAGCCGGUUACUUAAAGGUGCAGCAGCUGUGUUUGGUGUCGGUCGGUCUGAUUGCAGGGAGGAGGGUUCUUAAAGGGGUAGUGUAGGGGUCGAGGCAUUGGGAGCGUUAAAUAACCUGCCCAGGGUGAUAGACUGAGUCAGUGGCAGAGCCAGGAAUGGACCCCAGGAGUAGCUCCUGCCUGGCCAGCUUAGGCACUUCCCCUGAAGUCGCUGGGGACCAUUCACUGGAGAGGACCAAACACCAGACCCCAGGGUCUACUUCUAGACACAAGACAGCACGUGAAGAAGCAGAACCCACAGCAAGUCACUGAGUACACUGAGAUUAUACCAGUGUAAUGUAAGCUGGGCUUCCCUCCGCCUGCCUACCUGUUGGGCUUUCAGUGACCCUGCAUGUUCUUUUCCUACCUUGAAGGGUCUCCUGGCAGGUCCCAUCCUCUGCUCUGGGGCACAAAGCUGCUGUUAACCCUGGGUGCUAGGAGCAGGGCAGCAGGUCCGUGGCGUCCCUGGGUGCUGGCCGUGCUUGUUGUCCCAGGCACUUCAUGAAUACUUCAGGAACACGCCGGUGUUGGGUUUCAAGUGCUUCCAGUAAUGAGAGCAAAAUGAUCUCGCAGAUUCAAUUCUAGCCAGGGGCUCUGAGAAAAUAUUUCCACAAGUGUCUUUCCACAGCCGUCAGGAGGUGAGCUGGCUGGGCCAGCUGCCUCUCAAACUUGGAUCACCCUACUUUGGACAGCAGGAGGUGCUGAUGUGUUGUUUCCUUUCCCCUGCCAAGGGCCCGAUCCUGCAGAGACAAACACUUUCACCCAAUUACUGGGCCGUAAGACUGGACUGCUGUAUAGCGCUGCAUGGCCUCAACUCCCACCCAUCCGAAUGGGAGAUGAAAGUACUCAGCAUUUGGCAGGACUAAGCCUUUACUUGGGCACAGCUGGAAUUAUUGCACCAUUUUCUUGCUUGAAUCAAGGAAGAGAAAUAUACUUCAAAGUAUUAAGGGUGAAGAACAUCUUUGCAUAGAGGAAUGGUCCAGAGCCUGGUUCGCUGGGUUACCUGUAUUGCUAUGGUGGCAUCUUUCUCUUUUGGUUUUGCUUGGAAAAUGCUGGUGGCAACCAGGAAAAAAAGGAACAGGAACAGCAAUUGCCAUGAUAAGUAGCAACGUGACCAUGGCAGCAACUUUCCAUCCUCAUGCUUCAGGGCAUCUUUUGGUCACCAGUGGUGGGGUCAGGAAGGAACAUCCCUCCUUCCUCACUCCUUAGUGGUAGGAUAUAGUGUCUUGACAGGAGUCGUAGGAAAGAGGGGUAAGCACUGUCUUUAGAACAAGCCUCCCAUUUUCAAGGGAAAAAAGGACUUAGGGCUAGUUCUAGUUACCAUUAAGUGCCUGAGUAUAAUCCUAGUUUGCCCCAUUCAUGGCCCUGGAAGCCAGGUAAUGUGGAAGGUGUGUGAGUGUUUCUCACUGCUGCUUGUGAUUUUAGCCUCGAGGCGUGGUACAGAAGUAGAUGCAUCCGCGGUUUUUUAGGGACUUGAGCAGGGUGGAAUAGAAUCGUACCCAAGAGCUGGAAUAGGAUUGGACCCAGAGUCUCAGCUCUGUUUUGGAAGGGAGAAUGGAUUUAGGGUCCUCAGCCUCUUCCAUGGGGGAUUUGGCCUCGUACUAGACCAGGCUUUAUCAAGCCAAGGCCUCUGGGGUAGCAAAGUCCUUGGGGGAAUCCAGGUCCAGAUGAUUACACAAAAGCUGCCAGAUAAAUAGAUUAGCUUCCGUAUAGCUGGAUCGGCAAGAGCAAAGGUCAGUGUGUCAAGAGGGACAGGUGCUCCUGGAAGACCCCAGGGAAUUAGCACUUGCUUUGCUGGAUUUGGGAUGCCAGAGGCAGGGGAGCUCAGCACACUGGUAAUUGCGCAGGUGGGAAUACACAGGGCCCUCCCCUCCAGCCCUCUCUGGGUUCAUUUCAAAGCCACAUCAAAAGCCACUCAGAAGACAAAGCUUUCUUGCCCCAGGUGCUGUACCUACCCCUCAGGGGAGAUACUUCUGGCAUUAAAAUUGCUGACAGAGUAGCCAGGAAGGAAAACUGAGGCGGGGCUGUUAUGCAAAUAGCAUAAAUACCUGCUUGAUGUUAGGUAAAUAACAUGGAAAUAGACUUUUGCUUAUUGCUUUUAAUCUUGUGUACUUUCUUGAGUUUUGCAUUGCCUUCAGAAACUCCAUUUUGUAUUGCUCUGUAGUGGGAGGUAGGUGCUUGACCUUUUACUCUUUUGUAUGCUGUAUGGGUGAGAGUGUGUUUGUGGGAAAGGAAAACAUCAGCUGGUGACUGGCUGAAGAACGCAGACAGACAAAAGACC